GAUGAACGCUGGCGGCGUGCCUAAUACAUGCAAGUCGAGCGAACAGACGAGGAGCUUGCUUCUCUGACGUUAGCGGCGGACGGGUGAGUAACACGUGGAUAACCUACCUAUAAGACUGGGAUAACUUCGGGAAACCGGAGCUAAUACCGGAUAAUAUAUUGAACCGCAUGGUUCAAUAGUGAAAGACGGUUUUGCUGUCACUUAUAGAUGGAUCCGCGCCGCAUUAGCUAGUUGGUAAGGUAACGGCUUACCAAGGCAACGAUGCGUAGCCGACCUGAGAGGGUGAUCGGCCACACUGGUACUGAGACACGGUCCAGACUCCUACGGGAGGCAGCAGUAGGGAAUCUUCCGCAAUGGGCGAAAGCCUGACGGAGCAACGCCGCGUGAGUGAUGAAGGUCUUCGGAUCGUAAAACUCUGUUAUUAGGGAAGAACAAAUGUGUAAGUAACUAUGCACGUCUUGACGGUACCUAAUCAGAAAGCCACGGCUAACUACGUG
rnacentral:rRNA from 1 species